GGCUUAACACAUGCAAGUCGAGGGGCAGCAUGAUCUUAGCUUGCUAAGAUUGAUGGCGACCGGCGCACGGGUGAGUAACGCGUAUCCAACCUUCCCUGUACUAGGGGAUAGCCCGGCGAAAGUCGGAUUAAUACCCUAUGUUUUCCGAAGCGGGCAUUCAAUUUGGAACAAAGGUUUACCGGUAUAGGAUGGGGAUGCGUCUGAUUAGAUAGUAGGCGGGGUAACGGCCCACCUAGUCGACGAUCAGUAGGGGUUCUGAGAGGAAGGUCCCCCACAUUGGAACUGAGACACGGUCCAAACUCCUACGGGAGGCAGCAGUGAGGAAUAUUGGUCAAUGGGCGAGAGCCUGAACCAGCCAAGUAGCGUGCAGGAUGACGGCCCUAUGGGUUGUAAACUGCUUUUAUAUAGGGAUAAAGUGAGGGACGUGUCCCUUAUUGUAGGUACUAUAUGAAUAAGGACCGGCUAAUUCCGUGCCAGCAGCCGCGGUAAUACGGAAGGUCCGGGCGUUAUCCGGAUUUAUUGGGUUUAAAGGGAGCGCAGGCCGAUGGUUAAGCGUGACGUGAAAUGUAGGUGCUCAACAUCUGCACUGCGUCGCGAACUGGCUAUCUUGAGUGAGUUCGAUGUUGGCGGAAUUUGUGGUGUAGCGGUGAAAUGCUUAGAUAUCACGAAGAACUCCGAUUGCGAAGGCAGCCAACAAGGCCUUUACUGACGCUAAAGCUCGAAGGUGCGGGGUAUCGAACAGGAUUAGAUACCCUGGUAGUCCGCACGGGUAAACGAUGGAUGCCCGCUGUUCGCGAUAGACUGUGAGCGGCAAGAGAAAUCGUUAAGCAUCCCACCUGGGAGUACCCCGGCACGGUGAAACUCAAGGAAUUGAAGGGGGCCUCA
rnacentral:rRNA from 1 species